CAUGUAGGCGGUUUAUCAAGCGUUGUGUGAAAUCCCUCGACUCAAUCGAGGAACUGCAUGGCGAACUGGUAGACUUGAGGCAGGUAGGGGUGUGUGGAACUCUUGGUGGAGCGGUGGAAUGCGUAGAUAUCAAGGGGAACGUCGGUGGCGAAGGCGACACACUGGGCCUGACCUGACGCUGAGAUGCGAAAGCCAGGGGAGCGAACAGGAUUAGAUACCCUGGUAGUCC
rnacentral:rRNA from 1 species